UUCAUCUUGUCGUUCGCUGGAGAGGGCUUCCCAGCUCUCCUGUUGGAAGGCUCUUGCUCAGUUCAAGCAGUGAUCUGCGAACCUGGGGCAGGACCAUCUCUUCGCACCACCAGGAAGCCUGCUCUGCAAGGUCUAAGGAGAAACCUCUUGAGCACAGGACUUGAAAUUUCCUUUUUGCCAAGCCGCCCUCUUGGAGGAGCGGGUACGCAGCAGCCUCGCGGCUUGCCAUCCAGGCCCGCAUCCUGCCAGCUAAAGCCUCGCGCUGGGACAGGUCUCAUCUUGUGCUGGCUCGGGCAGCCACCAGGCCCGAGGCUUCUCCACAAGAGUCUG